ACAUUAAUAUCAAUCUAAUGACAUUCCAUAGGAAUAAAAAUCCAAUGGGAUCCAGUUCUUAGCAGUCCCAGCCUAGUCAGAAGUACAAAGUCAAAUACCAUUUGCACAUCACCAAGAGGUACAAUCUGAUGAGUAACAUGAUAUCUGAUCUAAAAGCUUGCCAGGUUUCACAAGCUGUUUGAGUAUCACCAGGGCAGAUCAAGAAGAAAUAUGAAGGCCAGGUUCAUAACAAGCAGUUUCUUCAUUGCAAUUACAGAUUUAAAAACUUGAAUGA